rnacentral:tRNA from 1 species
AUUUAAAUAGUUUAAGAAAAAUUUUGAUUUGUGGAGUCAAGGAUAUUUGAAAAAAUUUUAGAUA